AUAAGUUAUUUAAGGGCGUAUGGGGGAUGCCUAGGCUCUCAGAGGCGAUGAAGGACGUGAUAAGCUGCGAAAAGUUGCGGGGAUUGGCACAUACGAUUUAAUCCGCAAAUAUCCGAAUGGGGCAACCCACCAUUAAUAAUGGUACAUAGAAAUAUGAGCAAACCCACUGAACUGAAACAUCUAAGUAGGUGGAGGAGAAGAAAACAAAAGUGAUUCCGCUAGUAGUGGCGAGCGAACGCGGAAUAGCCCAAACCAAUGUUGUUUCGGCAAUAUUGGGGUUGUAGGACUACGGGCUUCGUUGUUUUAAGAAUUAGAAUUAACUGGAAAGUUAAACAGCAUAGGGUGAUAGUCCCGUAUAGUUAAUUAAAAUAAACGAUAGUAGUAUCCUGAGUAGGACGGGGCACGUGAAACCCUGUUUGAAUCCGCCAGGACCAUCUGGUAAGGCUAAAUACUCCUGAGAGACCGAUAGUGAACUAGUACCGUGAGGGAAAGGUGAAAAGAACCUUGAAUAAAGGAGUGAAAAAGAACCUGAAACCAUACGUCUACAAGCGGUCGGAGCACCUUUAUGGUGUGACGGCGUGCCUUUUGCAUAAUGAGCCUACGAGUUAUUUAUAUUGGCAAGGCUAAGUACUUUAGGUACGCAGCCGUAGCGAAAGCGAGUUUUAAUAGGGCGUUUGAGUCAAUAUGAAUAGACGCGAAACCGUGUGAUCUACCCAUGGGCAGGUUGAAGCGCUGGUAACACAGUGUGGAGGACCGAACCGGUUGUCGUUGAAAAGACUUCGGAUGACCUGUGGGUAGGGGUGAAAGGCCAAUCAAACUCGGAAAUAGCUCGUACUCCCCGAAAUGCAUUUAGGUGCAGCGUUGUUAUAGAUUUAUUAGAGGUAGAGCUACUGAUUGGAUGCGGGGGUUUCACCGCCUACCAAUUCCUGACAAACUCCGAAUGCUAAUAAAUAUUUUACAGCAGUGAGGGCAUGGGUGCUAAGGUCCAUGUCCGAGAGGGGAAUAACCCAGACCAUCAUCUAAGGUCCCAAAAUAUAUGCUAAGUUGAAGAAACGCGGUCAAAUUGCCUUGACAGCUAGGAUGUUGGCUUGGAAGCAGCCAUUCAUUUAAAGAGUGCGUAACAGCUCACUAGUCGAGCGAUUUGGCAUGGAUAAUAAUCGGGCAUAAGCAUAUUACCGAAGCUAUGGGGUAUUAACAAAAUGUUAAUUACUGGUAGGGGAGCAUUCUGUUUGAGUCGAAUCUUAAUUGUGAGAUUAGGUGGAUUAAACAGAAAAGAAAAUGUAGGCAUAAGUAACGAUAAGGCAGGUGAGAAACCUGCCCGCCGAAAGAUCAAGGUUUCCUGAGCUAUGCUAAUCAGCUCAGGGUUAGUCGGGGCCUAACGCUAAUUCGUCAAGGAGAAGUGGAUGGGAAACAGGUUAAUAUUCCUGUACCUGCAUAUAGACAAAAGUGACGGAAUGGACAAUUUACUGCGCAGAGACGGAAUACUGCGUUGAACUUACAGUAAGUGUAAGGAUAGUACUUAAGGAUAUUUUAUCCGAGAGAUAAUGUAGAGGCGACAUUUCCAAGAAAAGCGAUAUAUGUGGCUCGUACCGUAAACCGACACAGGUGAUUGGGAAGAGAAUUCUAAGGCGCUCGAGAGAUUCAUGGCUAAGGAACUAGGCAAAAUAGACCUGUAACUUCGGGAGAAAGGUCGCCCUUCGUAAGGAGGGUCUCAGUAAAACGAUCCAAGCGACUGUUUAUCAAAAACACAGGACUCUGCGAAAUAGCAAUAUGAAGUAUAGGGUCUGACACCUGCCCGGUGCUGGAAGGUUAAGAGGAGAUGUUAGCAUUAGCGACGCAUUGAAUUGAAGCCCCAGUAAACGGCGGCCGUAACUAUAACGGUCCUAAGGUAGCGAAAUUCCUUGUCGGGUAAGUUCCGACCUGCACGAAUGGUGU
rnacentral:rRNA from 1 species